UCUCCUUAAAAGGCCGUUCUGCUCCUAAAUGCUGCUUUCUCGUGGUGUCAUCUCACCCUAUAGAGCAAUGCAGGGUCCUUCUUCCAUCCUCUGUGAGCACUGUGGAGCAGGGAGGGAGGUGCCAUUGCCAUCACCUUGGGACAUGUGCAGCAUCCUCCGGGGGUGCUGCAUGGAUUGGUUUCUCUGCCUCCUCCCACCUCGUCAGUCUGACUCCUGCUGGGUGCUGGAUUGGUUCGCCUUUCCGCAGACCAAAGCUACUCAGCGGUGUGCAAAUCAUAGAAUCAUUUCAUUUCAAAGGGAUCGUUAAAAGUCAUCCUGUCCAACUCAAACGGUUUGAAGCCCAUUCCCAAACCAACUACAAAGAUCUGCUCCUUGAGCACCUUCCCAAUGGAGAUGGACUCUUCCGUGCCCGCCCAAAGCCCGUUGCAUGUGGCAGAGCGGCUCCUCUGAACUCUGGGGUGGGAGCGGCCCCUUUUUGGGGGUCCUCAGCUCACAGCAAGAAAGAUACACGAAGAAAAACUCCUUUCAUAAAUCACACAACAAAGAGAGGAAACAUAGAAAGCAGAGGGGGUAUUCUCCUGUUUCUCGAGGAGCAGAAGAGGAAUGGGGAAGGCAGCGUCGUUAAAGUGAAAUCCCUGACUGGAAUGAAAAAAGGCAAAGAAAUUAAAGCCAGAUUUGUUCCCCUGGGCUGGAGGAAGGAGGAUCCCUUUUGGUUUGUUCCUCCUUUCUUGUUUCCUUUAAAGACAGGAGAUCAAUUGCGGGGCUUAAUGAGAACCGUCUAUGGCGAGAGGUAGGCAGUGCAGAGUGGGGCCGACCCAGCACUGCAAGCAUCGCUCUCUGUUCCCAUCCCUUACAGCCACUUGAGGAACACUGUGGAUUAUGACCACCAUCCGUCCUCCCUGCUCCAUGGGUGCGACUGACACGGAUAAAAUCCCUGAGCUCCAACUGAUGGGGUCAAGCGGAGCUGGAGCAGCUCCAGAUUUGUUGCAGUCCUACUGAUGGUUAGGGGAGAUGGUCCAGAGUGCUGUGCCUACCUGGGUUCUGGAUGCAGGAGUCUGGGGGCACAGAUUUCAUAGAAUCAUUAAGGCUGGAAAAGGCCUCUAACAUCACCAAGCCCAACCCCAACCCAUCCCACCAUGCCCACUGACCACGUCCCUCAGUGCCACAUCUCAACAGUUCUUGAACACCUGCAGCAGUGACUCUACUACUCUCUGGGCAGCUGUGCCAGUGCCUGAUCAUUCUUUUGGAGACGAUUUUUUUUCUAAUAUUCAACCUGAACCUCUGUUGGCACAACUUGAGGCCAUCACGUCUCCUACGGGCCUUGGGGACACCCCAUGCAUACAGGAGCUAAGCAGGAUUCACUGGAGUGCUAUUGGGAUGUCCCCUUGGGGAGGUCCUGAUGGGGACAUCCCAGAAGGCUCUCUCCCUUGAGAUGGGAGAUGCUGGCAGGAGAAGAAGCAAUGGAUCUGCCCUUUGCUUGUGAAUCUCAUGCCAAAAUAGGUGCCUCCAUUUCCCCUAAAAUGGGUAUCCUUUUUUUUGACUUGCCUGGACCAUGCUGAAUGAAAAGAAAUUGUCUUGCUCCAUGUAUGUUUGAGGAACAUGCUUAGUGGGCACGGUGGUGACAGGUUGAUGGUUGGACUUAGAGGUCGUUUCAUGACUUAACAAUUCUAUGAUAUAACAUAUAUAAUAUAGGUAAUGCAUAUAAGUAACAAAGCCUCAAAACAAAAAAAAAGAGGGUAACAAAACCAUAAAGCUAGCAGGUUGGAGGCAUUUAAAACCCUGUUUCGAUCGAGAGGAGACACACAGGUGCUGGCUCACACCGUAAUGUUAACCGCUUCUUUCCCACGCUGCUUACCAGCAGGUACAGCUUCACCCAGGACUCCAAAAAUAUGUUGUAAAGGUUUCUCUGGUGCCUCAGCACCCUGGACUGAAGCACUGGCACAGGUUGCUCAGAGAGGUGGUGGUGCCCCAUUCCCGGAGACACACAAGGUCAGGCUGGAUGGGGCUGUGAGCAUCUGAUGGAGCUGUGGGUGUCCCUGUUCACUGCAGGGAGUGGGACCAGAUGGCCUUUAAGGGUCCCUUCCAACGCAAACCAUUCUAUGAUUCUAUGGUUCUAUGAUUCUACCUAGAGAAGCUGUGGAUGCCCCAUCCCUGAAGGUGUUCAAGGUCAGGUUGGAUGGACGUCUGGACAUCCUGAUCUGGUGGAUGGCAACCAGCCCUUGGUAGGAGCAUUGGAACUGGAUGAACUUUGAGGCCCCUUCCAAUCCAAGCCAUCCAUGAUUCUGUGACUUGGGAGCACCUUCCUGGGAACUCAGCAAUCCUAAAUGCAGACUAGAGAAACUGGACAGAGGGAGAUGGAGAAAUACUUAGAGCCAGCGUUUCCCCAUAAAUGAGUCACCAGUGUAUGCUAUGAACACAAGUGUGGCCCUCGUGAUCCGUUUUCAUUGCAGGACCAAAGAAACAGACCAAAAGGUCCAGGCUGCAGUGGGGUUGAUGCAUUUUUGCAUGAAAACAAGCAGAGAUGCAGAGCUUCAUCCCAUGUGUCCUUGGGAGAAGUGGACAAUUCCCCAGAUUUCCCCAGUGCCAAAAUAUCACUUCUGAAGAAUGUUUUCUUCCUCUUCCCCACUACCUCUCCUCUCUCACAACCUCCCCUCCUGUUUUCUGGUCCUGGAGGUGCUGAAGAGAACAUCAUCCCUUCCUCCCAUGUUGCUGGAAGGAAGCAGAACGUAUAAUGCUAAAUUGUGAUGGGGGGGAAAGAAAAAGGUGAUCAAUGGAAUUCACUUUUUUUGGGGGGGGAGAGGGGGGCUGGGAAAAGCAUCCUACAGCUCUGUGCACUGAGCACUCAGGGUCCAGGUAGUGGAAAUAACUCUGCAGCAAAAGGGUGGCCCCAUCCCAGGGUAUUUUCCUUUAUUUCAGGCUCCUCAGCUUGGAGAGGCGUGAAUGCAGCAGGUGGGGAGGUGUGGGGUGAGGGGGGCAUCCCUCCUCUUGGGUGGGUGCCCAAAUUGUCGGGUGCUCCAACCACCAGCAACACACCAGUGCCGAAUCAGGGAUGAGUUCUGCCAUAGGGCCACAAAUAAUAUACAUAUAUAUAGAGAGAAAGACAAAUGGAAAGAAAACGGGCCACCAUCCUGGAUUUUGAGCAAAAAUAACAAAGAAAAAAAUAUAUAUAAAGAGAAUGGAAAGAAAUGGAGCUUUUCUAGAAAGCCCAAUUUCUAGAAAAACUCCUGCACCCAGGGAGACAAUGAGCCCCACGCGGCGCUUCCUCCCAUUCCUGCAGCGGAUGUGUUUCUCAUUUGGGCUUUGUUUUGUUUUCUUUCUUUUCAUUUCCCCCUCCCUUUCCCCUUUCCCCGCUCUGCCCAGCGGGAUGCAGCCAAUGGCCCCAAUGGACAGACAACGGAUGGACAACGGGACGCGGCUGCUUGGUUCCAUGAGCAACACGAGUUUUGGAAGAGCGUGCCCUCCACGCCGCGGUGUUUUGCAUUAAAAGGUCCGGGGUACGGAUAGUGUUGCAGCAGCAUCUUCAAAGUCUCAUGGCUUUCAAACACAGCCGUGCACACAUGAGCCCCUCCCUCGCGGCCGUCCCUGUCUCGCAUUACGCUGGCAUUUUCUUUGGGGAUGAACAGGGGAGAGACUCCGGCGUAGUUUAUUUUCCUUCCGAGCAGGGAGGAGAGAACGCGCAAAAUGCUCCUAAUGGAGCAAAGCGAGCAAGAGGAGCCCAAAGGCGCGGGUGUGCGGCCUCAUGGGGACACUGCUGGGGGUUGGGAUUCUCCUUGCUAUGAGGGGCCCAAAGCCUUUGAGUUGUGUAUUUCCGUAGCCACCGUCUAUAAUAAAGCCUGG
ensembl:lncRNA